GACGAACGCUGGCGGCGUGCUUAACACAUGCAAGUCGAACGGAAAGGCCCUGCUUUUGUGGGGUGCUCGAGUGGCGGACGGGUGAGUAACACGUGAGUAACCUGCCCUUGACUUUGGGAUAACUUCAGGAAACUGGGGCUAAUACCGGAUAGGAGCUCCUGCUGCAUGGUGGGGGUUGGAAAGUUUCGGCGGUUGGGGAUGGACUCGCGGCUUAUCAGCUUGUUGGUGGGGUAGUGGCUUACCAAGGCUUUGACGGGUAGCCGGCCUGAGAGGGUGACCGGCCACAUUGGGACUGAGAUACGGCCCAGACUCCUACGGGAGGCAGCAGUGGGGAAUAUUGCACAAUGGGCGGAAGCCUGAUGCAGCAACGCCGCGUGCGGGAUGACGGCCUUCGGGUUGUAAACCGCUUUCGCCUGUGACGAAGCGUGAGUGACGGUAAUGGGUAAAGAAGCACCGGCUAACUACGUG
rnacentral:rRNA from 1 species